AUUGCGAUGGAACACGUUGAGAAUCCUAUUGAGGGUUAUAAUGGAACUCCCGUGAGGAGUAAGAGACAGAGGACUGCAAAGUCCUUUGGUGAUGAUUUCAUUGUGUACCUUGUGGAUGACACACCCAGGACUAUUUCAGAAGCCUAUGCAUCUCCUGAUGCUGACUACUGGAAGGAAGCCGUUCGUAGCGAGAUGGAUUCCAUCUUAGCUAACGGAACCUGGGAGAUCACUGAUCGUCCUUAUGGGUGCAAACUUGUAGGAUGUAAGUGGGUGUUCAAUAAGAAGCUUAGACCUGAUGGUACGAUUGAAAAGUACAAGGCACGACUUGUGGCUAAGGGUUAUACCCAGAAAGAAGGUGAAGACUUCUUUGAUACUUACUCACCCGUGGCUACACUGACCACAAUUCGGGUGCUACUAUCACUGGCUGCCUCACAUGGUCUUCUCGUUCAUCAAAUGGACGUUAAGACGGCUUUCCUCAAUGGAGAGUUGAAGGAGGAGAUUUACAUGGAUCAGCCAGAUGGUUUUGUAGUACCUGGUCAGGAAGGAAAGGUGUGCAAGUUAUUAAAGUCUUUAUAUGGCCUUAAACAAGCUCCUAAGGAGUGGCAUGAGAAGUUCGAAAGAACAUUAACUGCUGCCAGCUUUGUAGUAAAUGAUGGUGACAAGUGUGGGUACUAUCGCCAUGGUGGGGGCGAAGGAGUUAUUCUUUGUCUGUAUGUCGACGACAUAUUGAUCUUUGGAACCAAACUUGAUUUAAUCAAGGAGGUUAAGGAUUUCUUAUCUCGCUGUUUUGAGAUGAAGGAUCUAGGAGUAGCUGAUGUUAUCUUAAACAUCAAGCUGUUGAGAGAUGAGAAUGGUGGGAUCACACUGCUUCAGUCUCACUAUGUGGAAAAGGUCUUGAGUCGUUUUGGGUAUAGCGACUGCACGCCUUCUCCAACUCCAUAUGAUGCUACGAGUGCCACGAGGCCUAACAUCUCGUUUGCUGUUAGCAAGCUGAGUCGGUUUGUGUCAAAACUGGGAGAUGAUCAUUGGCAUGCGCUUGAGAGAGUUAUGCGCUAUUUGAAAGGCACUGCGAGCUAUGGGAUUCACUACACCGGGUAUCCAAGGGUACUAGAGGGUUAUAGUGAUUCAAACUGGAUAUCUGAUGCUAAUGAGAUUAAGGCCACAAGUGGUUAUGUUUUUACACUUGGUGGUGACACUGCCACUGUUGAAGCAGAGUGGCUUCGUGAGCUCUUGAUGGACUUGCCUAUGGUUGAAAAACCAAUACCCCCUAUCCUGAUGAACUGUGAUAAUCAAACUGUGAUCGUCAAGAUAAACAGUUCUAAGGACAAUAUGAAGUCCUCAAGGCAUGUGAAGAGGAGACUAAAAUCUGUCAGAAAAUUGAGGAACUCCAGAGUUAUUAUGUUGGAUUAUAUCCAUACGUUGAAAAAUUUGGCAGAUCCCUUCACAAAGGGUCUAUCACGUAAUGUGAUAGAUAAUGCAUCGAUGGAGAUGGGUCUGAGACCCACC
rnacentral:rRNA from 1 species